rnacentral:rRNA from 1 species
CGAACCGUCCAAACGUUAUUCGGAAUUACUGGGCUUAAAGGGUAUGUAGGCGGCGCUGUUAGUCGGGUGUGAAAGCCCUCGGCUCAACCGAGGAAUUGCGCCCGAUACUGCAGUGCUUGAGGGAGACAGAGGUAAGCGGAACUGAUGGUGGAGCGGUGAAAUGCGUUGAUAUCAUCAGGAACACCGGUGGCGAAAGCGGCUUACUGGGUCUCUUCUGACGCUGAGAUACGAAAGCUAGGGGAGCGAAGGGGAUUAGAUACCCCCGUAGUCCUAGCUGUAAACGUUGAGCACUUGAUCGGGGACCCCCCCACUAGGUUCUCGGUCGUAGCGAAAGUGUUAAGUGCUCCGCCUGGGGAGUAUGGUCGCAAGGCUG